GACGAACGCUGGCGGCGUGCUUAACACAUGCAAGUCGAACGGAAAGGCCUUGCUUUUGUGGGGUGCUCGAGUGGCGAUUGGGUGAGUAACACGUGAGUAACCUGCCCUUGACUUUGGGAUAACUUCAGGAAACUGGGGACAAUACCGGAUAGGAGCUCCUGCUGCAUGGUGGGGGUUGGACAGUUUCGGCGGUUGGGGAUGGACUCGCGGCUUAUCAGCUUGUUGGUGGGGUAGUGGCUUACCAAGGCUUUGACGGGUAGCCGGCCUGAGAGGGUGACCGGCCACAUUGGGACUGAGAUACGGCCCAGACUCCUACGGGAGGCAGCAGUGGGGAAUAUUGCACAAUGGGCGGAAGCCUGAUGCAGCAACGCCGCGUGCGGGAUGACGGCCUUCGGGUUGUAAACCGCUUUCGCCUGUGACGAAGCGUGAGUGACGGUAAUGGGUAAAGAAGCACCGGCUAACUACGU
rnacentral:rRNA from 1 species